UGCAUUGUAAAGUCCCCAAGUCAAUAACGGCUCAAUCUGACAUUUUUACUCUUAAAUGUUUUAUGUGAUGUAGGCUACAAUGUGAAAGGCUGAUUGAACUGGCCCAUUUUGGUAUCCUAAUGCAUGAUGGUACACACAAGUUGUUUCCCUUAUUUGUCCUACCUUCAAGCUAGGUAGGUCUUGACAUUCUUAAACAUUUUAAGAUCUCCUUUAUUUAAGGUAAUGUUUCUCCCUUGUAUGAUCUCAAUUGAUAUUGUUGUAUGAGGAUAACAUGUAUUUUUUCAUAUUUGUGCAAAUGGCUGUGUUGUUUCGAACUUUCUCCCUUUUAAAAUUCUUUCAAAAUCAGAAAAUGUACACAAUUCAGUGGAUGUCAAUCAACAAAAAUGUACAAAUAAUAUGUUGAAGGCAUUAUCUGCAUUUGGCACAGAUGACUGAACUACCCACUUAUUUGUGUGUCUCUGUGUCUGCAGGUAUACUGACAGGGAGGCAAACAAGGUAUGUACAAUCAGUGGUGUAAAGUACUGAAGUAAAAAUACUUUAAACUACUACAGUAGCUUUUUGGGGUAUCUGUACUUUACUUGAAUAUUUAUAUUUUUUGACUACUUUUACUUUUGUACAUUCCAAAAGAAAAUAUUGUAUUUCUUACUCCAUACAUUUUCCCUGACAACCAAAGUACUCAUUACAUUUUGAAUGCAUAGCAGGACAGGAAAAUAGCCAAAUUCACCACUUAUCAAUAGAACAUAUCAUCCCUACUGCCUCUGUUCUGGCAGACUCACUAAACACAAAUUCAUCUUUUGUAAAUAAGGUCUGAGUGUUGGAGUGUGACCCUGGCUAUCCGAAAAAUGUAAAAACAGGAAAAUGGUGCCAUCUGCUUUGCUUAAUAUAAGGAAUUUUAAAUUAUUUAUAUGUUUACUUUUGAUACUUAAGUAUAUUUUAGCAAUUACAUUUACUUUUGAUACUUAAGUAUAUUUAGAACCAAACACUUUUAGACUUUUACUCAAGUAGUAUUUUACUGGCUGAUUUUCACUUUUACUUGAGUCCCACUGAUUAGUAUUUGUAUAUAUGUGUCCUUUGGUGCGUUGAUAAGUGUUGCAAUGUUCGUUGGUGCGUGUGAGUACCUGUGCUGUGUGUUUUGGGCUUUCGUGCCCUUGUGGAUUGAUCAGAUGAUUACGGGUUUCGUCCCGUGUGUUAAUCAUUGUGCGCGUGUGAAUUUAUUCCAGGUACUCCUCGCUCUUUUGUUUGGGUUUCUACCUUGUGUGUUGUGUACGUGUGUGUUUGGUCUUUGUCCCCGUACCUUUACACGGCACACUGUAAUUAGGGGUAUAAUUUUUUUAAAUGAUUCCGCAUUGCUGCGCCUGUCUCCCGAAUCAUUGUUACCAAUGUGACAAGGUACUGUAUCUAUACUUUUACUCAAGUAUGCCAAUUGGAUACUUUUUCCACCACUGUGUACAAUUGGUAUUGGUUUGUCACAUAAUGUUAUACAAAUCACAUGUAGGCUAUCAUCUAAUUUGUAUUAAUGGUUUCUCUAAAACCUUAUAGCACUCAGUCACAGCAGCCAUCUUCUUCCUUCCUGAGCUCUUCGAUGUAGAUUCCAGACGUCUCUACAUUAUGGACAAGAUUUCAUCCUCCCUACACCGCUGAUGAAUAUAACUGCAAACCUGUUCGAUCACCAUUCACUGCAAAAUCAUUCUUGCUAUGGAUACGAAGGAUAUCAACAUAUUAACACGCCAGAGAAAAUAUUGACUGAACUUGGA
ensembl:lncRNA